UCUUUCUAGGCUCUGAUGCGAAUAUGAUGGCUGGAGCUUCAGCAGCCCUCCUGGGACCCUAAGAACAGAAGCUGUUCAUUAAGACGAAUGUCUGUGUCGGCCCAGGAUGCCACGAAUCCUCCUCUUAGAGACAAGGCAGUCAGCUGUUACCCGGAUGUCCAGCCUCCUCUACUGACUUUCAGAAGGCAGCUCGUCCAAACCGUGGGAUGGCAUCCUUCCUAUCCCUUAUGGCAGAGAAGAGACCCCAGGGAGUCCCUAUGUUGGUUGCUGAAAGCUACAGACCUUUUAGGAGCACCUGGCUGAUUGGAAUGACAUGCCUAGCCCCCCCUGGGCUCGGAGAAUGCAUUAAUGUCACAGAAGAAAGAGGAGCAGUGCACAGGGAACCUGGGGACUCUUGAGAGUGUAACUACAGGAAGGACUAUGGUAUAGCGGCCAACGAG